rnacentral:snoRNA from 1 species
UGUGAUGAUGACCCUCUCUCUCCUGACUCUGAAGUGGAGGCAACAACUGAUUUAAUGAGUCUGACAC